rnacentral:misc_RNA from 1 species
GGCUAUAAAAUGGCUUCGCUCAUUUAUAGACAGUUACUUAGUAAUUCUUACGCAGUAGACUUGUCAGAUGAAACACAAGAAAUUGGAGCAUCAAGAAACCAAAAUGUAACCGUUAAUCCAGGCCCAUUUGCACAGACAAAUUAUGCACCAGUAAGUUGGGGGCCUGGUGAAGUUAGAGAUUCUACAACAGUAGAACCACUACUAGAUGGACCAUAUCAACCAACAACAUUUAACCCACCAGUAGAUUACUGGAUGCUGUUAGCACCAACAGAUCGUGGAGUAGUAGUAGAAGGAACAAAUAAUACAAAUAGAUGGCUUGCAAUAAUACUAGUAGAACCAGAUGUACCAACAGAAGAAAGGACGUAUACAUUGUUUGGUCAACAAGCGCAAAUAACAGUAGCAAAUGAUUCACAAUUAAAAUGGAAAUUUAUAGUUGUCAGUAAGCAAACAUUAGAUGGUGCAUACGCACAAUAUGGACCAUUGUUAUCAGCAACAAAAUUGUACGCAGUAAUGAAACAUAGUGGUAGAAUAUAUACAUACAGUGGAGAAACGCCAAACGCUACAACCGCAUAUUAUUCAACAACAAAUUAUGAUACUGUUAACAUGAAAGCAUAUUGUGAUUUUUACAUUAUACCAAGAACACAAGAGUCGAAAUGUACAGAGUACAUUAAUACAGGACUACCACCAAUACAAAAUACAAGAAAUGUAAUACCUGUAUCAAUAACAUCUAGGGACAUACAAUAUACAAGAGCACAGGUAAAUGAAGAUAUUCUUAUUUCUAAAGCGUCAUUAUGGAAGGAAAUGCAGUAUAAUAGAGAUAUUAUAAUAAGAUUCAAAUUCGCGAACUCAAUCGUCAAAUCAGGAGGUUUAGGUUAUAAGUGGUCUGAAAUUUCGUUCAAACCAGCGAACUAUCAGUAUACGUAUAUAAGAGAUGAUGAAGAAGUAACAGCGCACACUACGUGCUCAGUUAAUGGGGUUAACGAAUUCAGCUACAGUGGUGGAUCACUACCAACUGAUUUCGCUGUAUCAAAGUAUGAAGUAAUAAAAGAGAAUUCGUUCGUCUACGUAGACUAUUGGGAUGAUUCACAAGCUUUCAGAAACAUGGUAUAUGUACGAUCUUUAGCUGCAAAUUUAAAUUCAGUAAUGUGUACAGGUGGAGAUUUCAGUUUUGCUUUACCAGUAGGACAUUACCCAGUUAUGACGGGUGGUGCGGUAACAUUACAUUCAGCAGGGGUAACUCUGUCAACGCAAUUUACUGAUUUUGUAUCAUUAAAUUCACUAAGAUUUAGAUUUAGCUUAUCAGUUGAAGAACCGCCAUUUUCUAUUAUCAGGACAAGAGUAAGUGGAUUAUAUGGAUUACCAGCGACAAAACCUAAUAAUUCACAAGAAUACUACGAAAUUGCGGGAAGAUUUUCGUUGAUAUCACUAGUGCCAUCAAAUGACGACUAUCAAACACCUAUAAUGAAUUCAGUAACAGUUAGACAAGAUCUGGAGCGGCAAUUGAGCGAAUUGAGAGAUGAGUUCAACAGUCUCUCACAACAAAUAGCGAUGUCACAGCUAAUAGAUUUAGCGUUAUUACCAUUAGAUAUGUUUUCAAUGUUUUCAGGUAUUAAAAGUACAAUAGAUGCUGCGAAAUCAAUGGUUACCAAUGUGAUGAAAAAGUUUAAGAAAUCAAGCUUAGCUAGUUCAGUAUCAACACUAACUGAUUCACUAUCAGAUGCCGCAUCAUCAGUGUCACGAAGUUCAUCAAUUAGAUCUAUCGGUUCAACAGCCUCUGCAUGGACAGAUGUGUCCAUAACAGCAUCAGAUGUAAGCACGGCAACAAAUUCAAUAGCGACACAAACGUCAACAAUAAGCAAAAGGUUACGGUUAAAAGAGAUGGCAACACAAACUGAUGGAAUGAACUUUGAUGAUAUUUCGGCUGCAGUCCUAAAAACAAAAAUAGAUAAAUCAACACAAAUUACGGCAGACACAUUGCCAGAGAUGAUUACGGAAGCGUCAGAGAAAUUUAUUCCAAAUAGGACAUAUAGAAUAAUUAACAAUGAUGAAGUAUUUGAAACAAGCAUUGACGGGAAGUAUUUCGCUUAUAGAGUUGAUACAUUCGAGGAAAUACCAUUUGAUGUACAGAAAUUUGCAGAUUUAGUGACAGACUCUCCAGUAAUAUCAGCAAUAAUUGAUUUUAAAACUUUAAAAAAUUUGAAUGAUAAUUAUGGAAUUACCAAACAGCAAGCAUUUAAUUUGCUGAGAUCAGAUCCAAAAGUAUUACGAGAAUUUGUCAAUCAAAAUAAUCCAAUAAUUAAGAACAGAAUAGAGAAUUUAAUUAUGCAAUGUAGAUUAUAAGUGCCUCCUCCUGGUUGUGACC